CGUGAGAUGUUGGGUUAAGUCCCGCAACGAGCGCAACCCUUGUCCCUAGUUGCCAGCAUUCAGUUGGGCACUCCAGGGAGACCGCCGGUGACAAACCGGAGGAAGGUGGGGAUGACGUCAAGUCAUCAUGGCCUUUAUGGCCAGGGCUACACACGUGCUACAAUGGCAAGUACAGACGGGAAGCCAACCGGCGACGGGGAGCCAAUCCCAGAAAACUUGUCGUAGUCCGGAUUGGAGUCUGCAACUCGACUCCA
rnacentral:rRNA from 1 species